CAAGGUGGCAAGGAGGCACUGAUCACACCAUUUACACAGCAGAAAUGGCAAAAUACAUGAAAAAAAAAAGAAAACAAAGACUCUAUAGCAUUUAGAGUACGAAUGCUCUGGAAAAAAAAACUCCAAUGAGGAUGGCAAUUAUUGUAGAAAAAACAAACUGACACAUUCCCAGGAUUUUCUUUCUACCAAGGAGAAAGAGGGAAUCGUGCACCAGUGUGGACUCGGUGAUCUUUGUAUCAGUAUCAGCCCCAGGUGUAUUACAUAUCCACGCACAGCUACAGCCAGCCAUGGCACUGGAGUCAGAGGAGGUCCUGCUUUGGCACUGACACAGCCUUGCCAUGAGACCUUGGGCAAAUCACUUCCUCUGUGACUCAGUUUCUUAUCCUGCCUGCUGUGAAAGUAGCAAAACAACGUGCACAACCCUGUGCAGAGACCUGGCAACAGAUGGACAGACGGACUGAGCUGCGUGUCACUGCUGCAUGCCCGGCAUGAACCAGUAUUUGGAUGGGGUCGAGAAUUGGAGCCGCACUCACAGAGCAGGUUACACAGGUCAGCAGCAGACAGCUAAAUCUCGUAGUGCUGCUCUGCAGGGACACACCACAGCCAAAGGUGUGCAAUUGUCAUCUGCACCGCACUGUCAGGAUCCCUUUGCGUCGCAUGCCCAGGACACAACCAUAGGACACCACAGCCCUACACCUUGUCGAAUAGCACUGCCCCCAGGGCGUGCAGACGUUGCAAGCAACAACACAACAGCCUGCCCUGUCAUGUAGCAUUACUUACGUGUUCAGAUAUGCAUCCUUCUCACAUUUCUACUCCAGCAAGUGGUUGCUAGCAGAGCAGGGCUAGGACAAGUCACCACCUGCUAAUGACAUGUCCCUAAUACAACACAGCGAAGAUUUUGUUACAUCGGUUCCUUUCUGUGCACAGCUCAAGCACAAGGAAAGAACAUACGUCUAAGAUUCCUCCCCCCUUCCUUUUUUUUUUUUUUUUUCUCCUCCAAACUGACCGCAUGCCUGAUUUACCUCAGGAGAGAACAGAAGCACAUCGAUCAAGGCACUGAAAGAAAGAGGGGAGAGAGCUGGCAUCGAGGGCGGGCUCAAACAAGAGCAUUUACUUCAACCCUACCUACGUGAAGUGCAAGGACUCCAAACAGAGGAAUCCCUGCUCCAGUCCUUGCUGGGGCUUUAACACCACUGAUAAUGCCUUGCAAAAUCCAGAGCGGCCCAGGCAAAACCAGGCACGGUGUCAAUUCAUUCUUCCACUGGCAGAAGGCGUUCAGUCUCCCUGGCUCUUCCAGAUCAUGACCCCCUGCAUGCUCACAGUGACAGGGAAAGUACAACGAGCGAAAUGCACACCCAACUACUUCAAGAGCCUCCCCUCCAAACUGGAUUUCCCUGGGCCAAAGACCAAGAGGAGGCCACCUGCGACCAAGACGCCAGACUUUACUGUGAGGCACUACAACCAGCAACCCAGAAGCUCCUGACACAUUUUACUGUGCUGGCCAAAGCCAUUAACUUACUGCUGCCAGAAGAAACUGGGGAGCAUGAAUAUGACAUACGACGUGAUGCAGUCAGCCCCAGCCUCCUGCUCAGUGCCCUCCUGUUGGGAGUCAGGCCCUGCUCUAUCUGACCAGGUGGGUCCUGUGGCCCCCUCCAUGCCCCGUGGGAUCUUCCUAUGCUGCAUUUGUAAAGGCAAAAUGCAGCCUGCACUGGAGCACCAGAGGAGAAUUUAAUCAGGCUAAGCAGUCCUCCUCCCAAAUAAGAAUACCCUACUGCAGUCACAGUGCAGCUGACACACCAUCUUCUUGCAAAAACUUAAACUCCUGACACAAUUCAGGAUCACAAAGGUGCUGAGUCUCCAGAUGUUGUACAUUUUGCUAUUACUACAAUAUCAGAUGCACUCCUAAAACACAUGUUUCCAGGCAUGGCACUGUUCUUCAAGCCUUCUCCCUUGACAGUUACUUCCACACGCUCUGAAUGACCAUGCCAGACUAAUGUUCUCAUGAGCUCAGAUGUUCAUUGCAGCCCACAUCCACUGCGGUGUGCACAAAGCCCUGAUACCACUAGGAUUCUGGCACAGGAGAUGAGCUCAACUCCUACUACAGCACCCUGGUCUCAGGUGGCCUCUGCUAUGCGCUACAGCCAUAUAAAGGGUACCUACAGCAUCACAGGCCCGUGCCAAGUGCCAGGAGACAGGUUGCUUGGAAGCUAGCUCAUCAGCAGCCUCGUGCAACUGCCAGCAGCACGUCAGGAUACAGGAUAAGUGGUUCCUAAACUACUUGGGCCAGGGCUGCAGUGUUCUCAUUGCAUGGGGCCCUGCACAGACAUUUGCUUCACUGCUUACUGUCUCAUUAAACU